rnacentral:tmRNA from 2 species
GAUUGACUGAAUUAUUUUUGGACGCGGGUUCGACUCCCGCCGUCUCCACCA